rnacentral:rRNA from 1 species
UGCCAGACUCCUACGGGAGGCAGCAGUGGGGAAUAUUGCACAAUGGGCGCAAGCCUGAUGCAGCCAUGCCGCGUGUAUGAAGAAGGCCUUCGGGUUGUAAAGUACUUUCAGCGGGGAGGAAGGGGUUAAGGUUAAUAACCUUAGCCAUUGACGUUACCCGCAGAAGAAGCACCGGCUAACUCCGUGCCAGCAGCCGCGGUAAUACGGAGGGUGCAAGCGUUAAUCGGAAUUACUGGGCGUAAAGCGCACGCAGGCGGUCUGUCAAGUCGGAUGUGAAAUCCCCGGGCUCAACCUGGGAACUGCAUUCGAAACUGGCAGGCUUGAGUCUCGUAGAGGGGGGUAGAAUUCCAGGUGUAGCGGUGAAAUGCGUAGAGAUCUGGAGGAAUACCGGUGGCGAAGGCGGCCCCCUGGACGAAGACUGACGCUCAGGUGCGAAAGCGUGGGGAGCAAACAGGAUUAGAUACCCGAGUACUG